AUUGAACGCUGGCGGCAUGCCUUACACAUGCAAGUCGAACGGCAGCACGGGAGCAAUCCUGGUGGCGAGUGGCGAACGGGCGAGUAAUAUAUCGGAACGUGCCCAGUCGUGGGGGAUAACGCAGCGGAAGCUGUGCUAAUACCGCAUACGAUCUACGGAUGAAAGCGGGGGAUCGCAAGACCUCGCGCGAUUGGAGCGGCCGAUAUCAGAUUAGCUAGUUGGUGGGGUAAGGGCCUACCAAGGCGACGAUCUGUAGCUGGUCUGAGAGGACGACCAGCCACACUGGAACUGGGACACGGUCCAGACUCCUACGGGAGGCAGCAGUGGGGAAUUUUGGACAAUGGGCGCAAGCCUGAUCCAGCAAUGCCGCGUGCAGGAUGAAGGCCUUCGGGUUGUAAACUGCUUUUGUACGGAACGAAACGGUGAGCUCUAAUACAGUUUGCUAAUGACGGUACCGUAAGAAUAAGCACCGGCUAACUACGUGCCAGCAGCCGCGGUAA
rnacentral:rRNA from 1 species